rnacentral:rRNA from 1 species
CCUACGGGUGGCAGCAGUGGGGAAUAUUGCGCAAUGGGCGAAAGCCUGACGCAGCGACGCCGCGUGAGGGAUGAAGGUCUUCGGAUCGUAAACCUCUGUCAGCAGGGAAGAACGGUCACUGUGCUAAUCAGCAGUGAAUUGACGGUACCUGCAAAGGAAGCACCGGCUAACUCCGUGCCAGCAGCCGCGGUAAUACGUAGGGUGCGAGCGUUAAUCGGAAUUACUGGGCGUAAAGCGCUCGUAGGCGGUAUGUCAAGUCAAGGGUGAAAUCCCCGCGCUCAACGUGGGAACUGCCUUUGAAACUGGCAAACUGGAGUGUGUGAGAGGAUAGUGGAAUUCCAGGUGUAGGAGUGAAAUGCGUAGAUAUCUGGAGGAACAUCAGUGGCGAAGGCGACUAUCUGGCACAUAACUGACGCUGAGGAGCGAAAGCGUGGGUAGCAAACAGGAUUAGAUACCCGGGUAGUC